rnacentral:rRNA from 1 species
GACGAACGCUGGCGGCGUGCUUAACACAUGCAAGUCGAACGCUGAAGCUCAGCUUUUGUUGGGUGGAUGAGUGGCGAACGGGUGAGUAACACGUGAGUAACCUGCCCCCUUCUUUGGGAUAACGCCCGGAAACGGGUGCUAAUACUGGAUAUUCACUGGUCUUCGCAUGGGGGUUGGUGGAAAGGGUUUUUCUGGUGGGGGAUGGGCUCGCGGCCUAUCAGCUUGUUGGUGGGGUGAUGGCCUACCAAGGCUUUGACGGGUAGCCGGCCUGAGAGGGUGACCGGUAACAUUGGGACUGAGAUACGGCCCAGACUCCUACGGGAGGCAGCAGUGGGGAAGAUUGCACAGUGGGCGCAAGCCUGAUGCAGCGAGGCCGCGUGAGGGAUGGAGGCCUUCGGGUUGUGAACCUCUUUCGCUCAUGGUCAAGCCGCAACAAUGGUUGUGGUGAGGGUAGUGGGUAAAGAAGCGCCGGCUAACUACGUG